rnacentral:rRNA from 1 species
UACGGAGGGAGCUAGCGUUGUUCGGAAUUACUGGGCGUAAAGCGCACGUAGGCGGCUUUGUAAGUUAGAGGUGAAAGCCCGGGGCUCAACCCCGGAAUUGCCUUUAAGACUGCAUCGCUUGAAUCCGGGAGAGGUGAGUGGAAUUCCGAGUGUAGAGGUGAAAGUUCGUAGAUAUUCGGAAGAACACCAGUGGCGAAGGCGGCUCACUGGACCGGUAUUGACGCUGAGGUGCGAAAGCGUGGGGAGCAAACAGG